rnacentral:rRNA from 1 species
GAUGAACGCUGGCGGCGUGCUUAACACAUGCAAGUCGAACGGAAAGGCCCAAGCUUGCUUGGGUACUCGAGUGGCGAACGGGUGAGUAACACGUGGGUGAUCUGCCCUGCACUUCGGGAUAAGCCUGGGAAACUGGGUCUAAUACCGGAUAGGACCACAUUUUGGAUGGUGUGGUGGAAAGUUUUUCGGUGUGGGAUGAGCUCGCGGCCUAUCAGCUUGUUGGUGGGGUAAUGGCCUACCAAGGCGUCGACGGGUAGCCGGCCUGAGAGGGUGUACGGCCACAUUGGGACUGAGAUACGGCCCAGACUCCUACGGGAGGCAGCAGUGGGGAAUAUUGCACAAUGGGCGCAAGCCUGGUGCAGCGACGCCGCGUGGGGGAUGACGGCCUUCGGGUUGUAAACUCCUUUCGCUAGGGACGAAGCGUUAUGUGACGGUACCUGGAGAAGAAGCACCGGCUAACUACGUG